CGAUUACAAUUAUUUUAUUGACGUAUAACCUUGGCAAUAUGGGCCUUGGGUCUCUACCGGGAACCGUAAAAUCCCGAUUACUGCAUGCUUAUUGCGCAUG
rnacentral:ncRNA from 2 species